GCCAACUCUACAUUGCACAAGGAUCUUCCCUUCUUCACUUAGCAAUGGACAGCGUAGCAAAUCCACCAUCUCCUGGGGACUUUCACAUUCAGGUUCCAACUAAAGUCUACAUUCCUAAUAAAACAAUUUUUGCUGAAGUUGCUGAAAAGUUGGGAUUGUUAGUACAAAAUGUGACGACAACCGAAUUGCAUGCUAACGAUUAUGUGUGCAAGAUUAAUGUUUCGGGUCUACCAACACAUUCCAACCUACAACAAAGCACACGUGAAUUCUUUGGUGAUUUCGCUCUCCAUCCAAGCGUGGCUAUUGACAAUGCUUACAAAGAAGUGCUACGUUAUUUAACUAAUAAUAAAUUUAUAAAAAUCAUGGACUAUAGUUAUCCACUCUACAAACAAGCAAAAGAAGACCUGGAUGGUACUACAGCUUGUCUGAUAAUUUCCAAUUCCAAUGAAGAUGAGUAACGAAUGAUGCUCAACGAGAUCGCACGAGGUUACAAAUUCUUUCUAUCAGAUCUAGACAACGUAUUUAAAAAAUAUACUACAGCCCUUCCAAUAUCAGUGAAAGAGAUAAUAGUGGAAGACGAAUCUGCAACGAAGUUGGAGGUUGAGUAUACAGGAGUUUGUAAUUCAGCUAAUCCAUUACAUGCUCUUACAGAAGAUUUAGUUCGGCUUAGAAGGAAUGCUCUUUUAUUUGCAUGUAACCCUUAAGCAAUCAUUACAGUAAUAAAUAAUUGUAACUCCUGUUGAAGGACUCUUUGCUAUUUUAUAAUACUGUGUACUACUGAGUCCUUAAAGUGACUUCGCUUAAUAAA